rnacentral:rRNA from 1 species
GNNACUGCGCAUGGGGGNAACCCUGAGCAGCGUCUCCGCGUGCGGGAUGAAGGCCUUCGGGUUGUAAACCGCUUUUGAUUGGAGCAGGCCUUUGGUGACGGUACCUUUCAAUAAGCCCCGGCUAACUACGUGCCCCAGCCGCGGGAAUACAC